rnacentral:miRNA from 1 species
AGAAUGUGACGGCAGAUAAGAACCGUUCGGCUCAUCUAGUCUGCUAUCCUAGACUUAAGAUAAGGCAAGGGACUAAUUACAAGUAUUUUGAAAUAUUGGGCAGACUAGAUGAGCCGAAUGGUUCUUAUCUGCCUUCACAUUC